CUAGUGCCCUUCAGGCUGCACUGGCUUAGUCUAGAUUUAUGUCUCCUUUCUAUCCCCAGGCAGCAGAUUUUGAGGUUCUUUGACGGUGGAGGCAAGAGAAUUUCUACGUGGUACAUACCUGGUUCUACCCACAUGCAGCCCAGGGGUUAUAAUAAGUGAUAUUUCUGACACAACCUGGACUAUAGGGAGAAAACAGUGGGUGACCCUUGAAGGAUGCUAUGUGCAUACAACACAUUCAUGGAAGGACAGAACUUGGGUGCUUGCGCAUCAGAAAGGAUGUUCGUUCCGUCACUCGACGUGCCUAGAGCAGGAGGUGUGUGUGGUCCACUGAAUGGGCAGAUGAAUAUAUCAUGCAGAAAUGCAAUGUGCAAAUGGCAUGCUGAAAAAAGGCCACACAUACUGCAUAGACAUGCAUAGACACACGUGCAAACACACGUAUAACCAUGCAUAUACAUGCAUACACACACAUAACACAUAUGUACACACACUCACAUGCAUACACACAUGCACAUAUGCAUACAUGCAUAUACAUGCACACACAUACAUACACACAUAUGUGCAUAUGCAUGUAUGUGCAUAUGCAUGCAUACACAUAAACACACAUAUAUAUACACAAGCACACACACACAGCAUGGAAGAUGGCUGGAGACAGAAUGAGGCAGGCACAUCACUGACAGGCAUGUGCGCUCUUUAGAAAAGCCAUCAGGCUCCUGCACCUGGAAAUCACCACCAUCGAGAAGAAAGGGGGCCUCUCUGGGCCUCUAUGGAGAUGACAGGGGGAUAUCCAAAGUACAUGUCCUCCAUUUCAUCUCCAAAGCACCCAAACGUGAGUCCUUAGCAGCGAAGCUUCACAAUACUUCCUCCAUGGAAGAAAGAGCUGUACAGGUCAUCCCAGUAAAUGAGAGCAGGAAAGAGACAGAAGCCCAGAGACCCCUCACACACGGCACAGUGGAUGAGCAAACCAGCCAUCCUAAAGUCUUGUGCCAUGGGGUUUCCAGCCCCAAGAAUGCCAGCUAUGAAACUAGCAGGGUCGCCCACCCACAACUCCCCCUCCAUCUUUUUAUGGUUUGGCCGGCUCUUGACCUCACCAGGAGGCCUGGGGAUCAGACUGGCUCCCGUGGGGGAUGUCUCCUAGCAAAUGUCUCUGCUCUAGUCCUCAUUCCUGUUGUCCUAUCCUUCUCACCAGGGAGAGACCCGAGGUGCUCCUGCUGGCCCCAGGGUGGGGGUGGGAAGUCCUACUGAGACCCAGGGGAGAUGGACCAUCCUGCUCAUGUAGGGAACCUCUUUCCCACAACUGUGCUCUGUCCUUGUUGCUCUGCUUCCUUUAAAUGUGUCAGUCUCUGGGGGAGGGGAGGGCCACCCCCCCAAGCACUCCCUUGAACCUGACCAAAAGCCAUGGCCGUGCUCCCCACUUUGUAUGAUGCAAAUGCUAAGAUGAUGUACAAAACCAACCAUGACGACAAAGAAAAAAGACCUUGUACAGCAGCUGUC
rnacentral:lncRNA from 1 species